rnacentral:misc_RNA from 1 species
UUGGACCAGAUCCUGGUUGAAGUUAUUGGAAUCUUGGCAUUCACCCAAAUACAUAUCAUCAGCGACUGUUGUCUCAUUGUUCAAAGCAUGGAGUGCAGAUAUCAGCGUGUACAUGGUAUCAUUACCCAUUCCAGCUGAAAAGCAAAUGUUAUUCUGUGUCCCUAUGGCAAUAAAUACACAACUGUCCAAGACUAGACUGAUAAAUAGCAUGAUUUAUAAGGUUUAAAUUAUACUAAUGUCUACAAUACUCUACAUCCAAAUGGACCAUAAAUUGCUGCAUAUGUGGCUG